GACCUCGGAUCAGGCGGGGCUACCCGCUGAACUUAAGCAUAUCAAUAAGCGGAGGAAAAGAAACUAACAAGGAUUCCCCUAGUAACGGCGAGUGAAGCGGGAAGAGCUCAAAUUUAAAAUCUGGCGGUCUUCGGCCGUCCGAGUUGUAGCCUAGAGAAGUGUUUUCCGCGGCGGACCAUGUACAAGUCUCUUGGAA
rnacentral:rRNA from 1 species